GUGCUCUCUUUGGCAGCACAUAUACUAAAAUCGGAAGGAUACAGAGAAGAUUAGCAUGGCUCCUGUGCAAGGAUGACAUGCAAAUUUGUGAAGCGUUCCAUAUUUUU
ensembl:snRNA U6 U6 spliceosomal RNA